rnacentral:lncRNA from 1 species
AGCAGGAGUCUCCAGCUGCCAUGCAGAAGGAAAGAGGCAGAUCUUUGAAGGAUGGUUUCUAACAGCUUGUGAAGUUACCUGGGGUUAGACGGGAGUUCUGGCCAAAAUUGCAAAUCCUUCAAAUCUCCCAGAAGAGCAGAAGAAAAACAACUCAACAAUAUUAAAGAAAGUUAACUGGUGAGGUUAACUCAGAACCCCCAGGUGAGUUAGGUCAUCUCUGUCCCCUCCCCUGAAGACCUCGUGAACUCUGAGGGUAUGAAAUGGCAUUGAGAGUUGGGGACUGCAUUCUCCAGAGAUCGAUGAUGAAGGAGUUGAGAAAACAAGCUUCAUCCCCUAACCCCAAAGAACAAUUUACCUCACUAGUACAAAGCCAUUUGGUAGAAUCUGUAUUAUAGAAUCAGGUAACUUGAAGAAAUGAUGUGAAGUCAUCCAGUUUAUCCCCUACUUUCAAAUAACUAACAAGGUUGCACUGAAUUACUUCCUUGCCUUCAGACAUGUACUAGGAUGAACUCUAUGGCAUUCUUCAGGACUUGCAUUAUUUCAAAAAGUCCUUUGGUAAUCCUUUCCAAUGUCUGACCAACACCAACCACCCAGUUAAUAUCUAACUUAAACCCUUCCUGUUACUUAUUUAAGUCAUUUAUUUUCUUUGAUACCUUGGGAGGCAUGGGACAG